CAAUAGCGUAUAUUAAAGUUGUUGCAGUUAAAAAGCUCGUAGUUGGAUUUCUGGUUGAAGCGACCGGUCGGGCGUUGAUUCGUCUGCACUGGAGUCGGUUUUGGCCAUCCUCUAGGAAAGUGCGUCUGGUAUUAAGUUAUCGGGCGUAUGAUCCUGGUCUUUUACUGUAAAAAAAUUAGAGUGUUUAAAGCAGGCCUUCGCCUUGAAUACAUUAGCAUGGAAUAAUAAGAUAGGACUUUGGUCUAUUUUGUUGGUUUGCAGACCGAAGUAAUGAUUAAUAGGGAUAGUUGGGGGUAUUUAUAUUCCGAUGUCAGAGGUGAAAUUCUUAGAUUUUCGGAAGAUAAACUUAUGCGAAAGCAUUUACCAAGGAUGUUUUCAUUAA
rnacentral:rRNA from 1 species